CAGAGAAUAGUUUAAAUAAAAUUUUAAUUUUGGGAAUUAAAGAUAGAAAAUUUCUUUCUCUGA
rnacentral:tRNA from 1 species